CCUACGGGAGGCAGCAGUGGGGAAUAUUGCACAAUGGGGGAAACCCUGAUGCAGCGACGCCGCGUGAGUGAAGAAGUCUUUCGGUAUGUAAAGCUCUAUCAGCAGGGGAGAAAAUGACGGUACCUGAUUAAGAAGCCCCGGCUAACUACGUGCCAGCAGCCGCGGUAAUACGUAGGGGGCAAGCGUUAUCCGGAUUUACUGGGUGUAAAGGGAGCGUAGACGGCAGCACAAGUCUGGAGUGAAAUGCCGGGGCUUAACCCCGAAACUGCUUUGGAAACUGUGCAGCUGGAGUGCAGGAGAGGUAAGUGGAAUUCCUAGUGUAGCGGUGAAAUGCUUAGAUAUUAGGAAGAACACCGAUUGCGAAGGCAGCUUACUAAACUGUAACUGACGUUGAGGCUCGAAAGCGUGGGUAGCAAACAGGAUUAGAUACCCGUGUAGUC
rnacentral:rRNA from 1 species